CCAAAUACGGCAUCGCCCACCCUAUUCUUGCUUCAUUCUCCGACCCACCCGCCUCUAUAGCUAGCUACUGGCGCCUCAUGUUCGUUACAUUUCUAACUGAAUCACAAUUAGAUUAACUAACGGCGUCGUCUCAUUUCCUCCCGUUUAAGAUUUUGGCGGGAAUUGAAAAUUGGGAUGAAUUGACCGAAUCACAAAUAUGUCUUCUAGCAGCAGCAAUUUGAAGGUGAUCUGAGAAGUGGAAGGCAGCAAAGGACCUCUAGCGACAGCUAAUGCCGUGUUAAAAAAAAUGCUCCCUAGGCGAUGGCUCAGCCAGUUGGUGAAAUGAUAGAUCAUGGGAAUGAUGAAUCUCGAGAAGGGCUGAAAUUCUGGUUUGCUUACAGUCAUACACACAAUCUAUGGUGCCAUUGCAUCGAAAAGCUCUUUGAUCAGGUGAAAAAGCCUCAAAAUGUGAGUGUUCUUACCCAUUAUCUUCUAGACUAUCAAGUAUACCUGAAACACUUUUUAAAGGUGUCUGUUGUGUUGAAAAUUUGGAAGUUGAUAAGAUUGAAUUAAAUUAAGAAAGGCCUCACAUGGGGUACCUCCUGUGGCUUCUUUUUCUAGGUGAAGAAUUUGUAUGCAUUGGCUUAAUGCUUCUGCCUUCUAAAGAAGCUGAGCUAUCUAGUUUAGCCGUUGAAAUUGAGGACAUAUCAUUCUGGAUGACUGGUUGAAAUGAGUCUCAUGAUUUUUCUUCACAGCUGUAUUAUGGUGUUUCAGAUAUUUUUGCGGGAAAAUUUUCGAAUUUGAUGCAAGCUGUGGUCCCGCUCUGUUAAGUCCUUAUUUAUUUUCUUAAUUGUCAGGUGAAUAAAUUUCUCGCCAUUGCUUUUUUUAUGAUUAUUCCAUCUUUCAUUGAUCAAGUCUCUUACUUUGACAGUAGUUUGGGCUCCUAUUCUCAUUGACUUGAAUCAGCAAGUAUUUAUUAGAUGUCCACUUAGUCUUGGUAAAUAGUUCUUGCAUGUUUUAGCAAAAUUGAAUGAGAAUGUGCUAAAAGAUGUGUGGUCUGUUGAAAGUUAAAACUGAACAAUGGCUAUUGUCUCAUUCAUCACUGGGUGACAAGAAUAUGAUUGUAUUGCACAUUUUGAACAGAAAAUGAUGGUCGGGUAUCUCUCUUUUAUGUGCCUUAUCUUAAGCUUAGUCUUUCUCUUUUAUGGUAUUUUUCCAGAUUCUUGGCCCUAAGCUGGUUUUCUUUUACUUGCAUCAAACAUGGGCGACUCUGAUUCUUGAAGACAUGACUUGUGCAUGAUGCAGAAGUUAAUCUUUUCAAUUAUUUUGUUUUAAGGGAUUUUAUGAAAUACCUUUCUUCGCAGUUCAUUUUAUUGCAUCAGUAUACACAAACAGCUAAAGUUUCGCAAUUUCUGGAAUUAUGUAUGGACAUAAGCCAACAGAUCAAUUUUCCUUUUGACGUUAUGUGGUGUUGUUAUUAGUCUGAUUCCACCAAAAUUAAUGGCCUUGUUCAUGUGUAUUUUUUUUCUAUUUUUAAGGAAUAAAUGAGAAGAAGAAGAACCAAAGGAAAUGGUUCAAUUCAAAUGCGAACAACUGUCUUUGCCAUUUUUUUGGAUUCCACUGAUUUAGUUUUAAAAAAUAGAAUAAUGAGAUCGCAUUUAACGAAUGCGAACUUGUUUUACACAAUAGAAGAACACACACCCAAUCAGUCGUUCAAAAUUAUAGCUGCAACUGUUUCCCCAAAUUAAACCCUAGCUCUCCAUUCUUCCAAUCCACCAAAUCUUUCCAGGUUCAUCCAGCAAUUUCUUCACAAAAGAACAAUCCACUCUCUUCACAUCCACUCCGGUUACUCUGUUUCUCUUCCUUGAUGUUGUUCUUUUCCCUUCAAAGUAGAAUGUUGUGUGAGAAAAUGGGAUAAAAAGGAUUGAGUGGAAUUCUGCUCAGGUUUUGUUAUUGGAUUUAAUCUCUACUGUCUUGACUGUAGAUCCGACCCAACUUAUCUCUGGAAAUUUCGGCUUCUUUGUUUCCCUAAUUCUGUGAGGUUUUUUGGCAUCCCUAUACGAAGUUGUCAUAGUAUGUGCCAUUCUAGGCACUAGUUUGGCAACAAUUGAAAAUUGCAGGUCCUGCAGAUGCAGAUUCAAAUCACUGGUCCAUGCAAGCUAGAGAGACCCAUUUGAUUUGAUCACAUCAUUUUACACGGGUAUAAUGGUGAAAGCUUUUGAGGAUGCUUUUCAUCUAGCAGAAUGGGUUCGAUCACCUAUGUUGUUAAGACCCAUAUUACCUUCUGGCUGUGAAUCCAAUGUUGGCCAUUGCGGAGCCAUUGGUACCAGAGAUCCUGUGAACUUGGGUGGUUAUGAUGUGGAACCUGCUUUGUUUUUAGCUCUUUGUGCUGUUGGCUUGCUUUGUCUACUUCCUGAGGCAGCCUUUCACUCUGCAUCAGGUAGGGAAAAAGUUGCUACUGUGAACUACCUGGAGGAAAUCUCGUGCAGUUAACAAGUACAUAUCUAAAAAUACAUUUCAUGCUGGCUGUUGUUCAUUGGGGUGCAUCCAUAUCAUAGAGGUUUGAAGCUAAUAGAUAUGCUCGUCAACACCUUAGGGUGGUGGAGUUGAUUGGAUUUCAUAGCUGUGCAGAUGAACUUAAUCUUACCAUCCGCUUGCUUCAAAUUGCUGCGAACCUCUUCAGAUUACUUUCUUACCAUCCGCUUGCUUCAGGUCCUGGGGUAACCUGAAGGGGACUGAACCACCACCGGACCAGACGGGUAUGGAUUUUUUAAGCAAGGUCACAUUUAAUUGUGGCAAAUUGGUGGGAAGCAAGGUUUGAACCCUUGCCACCCACCCCACCAAGUCUUAAUGCAUUGGUGGUGGCCAAGAUUGCUGUGAACCUCAGAAGAAUGGUUUUACAGUCUCAUUCUGAAGAAUUGAAAGAAUAUCAUUUGUCCAGGAAGCUUGUUGCAAGAUGUUUGAAAAACUUUACCUCCAGUAGUUGAGCUGGUGGUUUGCUGAAUCAUGACUUUUUCAGUCACAAACUAGGGAACCAAAAUCACUUGUUAUAUUAAUAAUGCUGAAACGUUGGAACUGUAUUGCUUUCAACUAUGCAAAGUUCUAUUUACUGCUUGACUGUAAUAUGUUUGCCUGAUGAUGAGAUGAAACAGAGACUUUUGGAGUUUA